GUACACUCCACGGGAGGCAGCAGUGGGGAAUUUUGGACAAUGGGCGAAAGCCUGAUCCAGCAAUGCCGCGUGAGUGAAGAAGGCCUUCGGGUUGUAAAGCUCUUUUGUCAGGGAAGAAACGGUGAAAGCUAAUAUCUUUUGCUAAUGACGGUACCUGAAGAAUAAGCACCGGCUAACUACGUGCCAGCAGCCGCGGUAAUACGUAGGGUGCAAGCGUUAAUCGGAAUUACUGGGCGUAAAGCGUGCGCAGGCGGUUUUGUAAGUCUGAUGUGAAAUCCCCGGGCUCAACCUGGGAAUUGCAUUGGAGACUGCAAGGCUAGAAUCUGGCAGAGGGGGGUAGAAUUCCACGUGUAGCAGUGAAAUGCGUAGAUAUGUGGAGGAACACCGAUGGCGAAGGCAGCCCCCUGGGUCAAGAUUGACGCUCAUGCACGAAAGCGUGGGGAGCAAACAGGAUUAGAUACCCCAGUAGUCCCAU
rnacentral:rRNA from 1 species